AUACGUAGGUGCAAAGCGUUAUCCGGACUUAUUGGGCGUAAAGGGCAUGUAGGAGGUUCUGAAAGUCUGGGGUGAAAAGCCGGGGCUCAACCCCGGAACUGCGUUGGAAACUGCGGAACUGGAGUCGCUGAGGGGGAGCCAGACUUCCAGGGGUAGGGGUGAAAUCUGUAGAUAUCUGGAAGAAUACCAAUGGCGAAGGCAGGCUGCCAGCAGAUGACUGACGCUGAGGUGCGAAGGUGCGGGGAGCAAACAGGAUUAGAUACCCUGGUAGUCCGUACAGUCAACUAUGUACACUGGGUGUCCGUGCAUGAGCAUGGGUGCCGAAGCAAACGCGAUAAGUGUACCGCCUGGGGAGUAUGCCCGCAAGGGUGAAACUCAAAGGAAUUGACGGGG
rnacentral:rRNA from 1 species